UUAUGCUGAUAAGAGCGUAUGGUGGAUGCCUUGGCACUAAGAGCCGAUGAAAGACGUGAUAAGCUGCGAAAAGCUUCGGGGAGGAGCAAAUAUCCUUUGAUCCGGAGAUUUCUGAAUGGGGAAACCUACUUGAGCAAACCUCAAGUAUCCUUAAGCCAAUACAUAACUUAAGGAAGGGAACCCGGUGAACUGAAACAUCUAAGUAGCCGGAGGAAGAGAAAACAACAUGUGAUUCUGUGAGUAGCGGCGAGCGAAAACGGAAGAGCCCAAACCAGCGUGCGUGCAUGCUGGGGUUCGGACCGCGGAAUUGAUUCAACGAGUUUAGCAGAACGGUUUUGGGAAAGCCGGCCAGAGAGGGUGAAAGCCCCGUAAGCGAAAGACGAGUUGACAUGGCGGGAUCCAGAGUACCACGAGACACGUGGAACCUUGUGGGAAGAUGCGGGGACCACCCCGUAAGGCUAAAUACUACUUAGUGACCGAUAGCGCAUAGUACUGUGAAGGAAAGGUGAAAAGGACCCCGGGAGGGGAGUGAAAAAGAACCUGAAACCAUAUGUUUACAAGCUGUGGAAGAGCUUUAUAUGCUCAACCGCGUACUUUUUGUAGAACGGUCCGGCGAGUUACGCUGGCUGGCGAGGUUAAGGACUAAAGGUCCGGAGCCGAAGGGAAACCAAGUCUGAAUAGGGCGCAUAGUCAGUCGGAGUAGACCCGAAACCGGGUGAUCUAUCCAUGUCCAGGUUGAAGUUGCCGUAAAAGGCAAUGGAGGACCGAACCCACAUCCGUUGAAAAGGGUGGGGAUGAGGUGUGGAUAGGGGAGAAAUUCCAAUCGAACCCGGAGAUAGCUGGUUCUCCUCGAAAUAGCUUUAGGGCUAGCCUCAUACGAGUCUUGCGGAGGUAGAGCACUGAAUUCCUAAGGGGGCGUCAAAGCUUACUAAGGGAUAUCAAACUCCGAAUGCCGUGUAGAUGAUGUAUGGGAGUCAGACGAUCCGAGAUAAGUUGGGUGGUCAAAAGGGAAAGAGCCCAGACCAACAGCUAAGGCCCCAAAAUGUGUGUUAAGUGGAAAAGGAUGUGGGAUUUCGAAGACAACUAGGAUGUUGGCUCAGAAGCAGCCAUUCAUUCAAAGAGUGCGUAAUAGCUCACUAGUCGAGAGGUCCUGCGCCGAAAAUGUCCGGGGCUAAAACACACUGCCGAAGCUUUGGAAUUGAGAAUUCAAUUGGUAGAGGAGCAUUCUUAAAGGGAUGAAGCAGUACCGUAAGGAGCUGUGGACUUUUAAGAAGAGAGAAUGCCGGAAUGAGUAGCGAGAGGAAGGUGGGAAUCCUUCCGGCCGAAUAUCUAAGGUUUCCAGAGUAAAGCUGAUCUGCUCUGGGUAAGUCGGGGCCUAAGGCGAGGUCGAAAGACGUAGUCGAUGGAUAACAGGUUGAAAUUCCUGUACUAUCCUGUAACAGAACUGUGGGGACACAGGCAGAGAGCGUGAGCCGGGAAUGGAAAGACCGGUACAAGCGAGGUAGGAGAAGAGUUGGCAAAUCCGCUCUUUAAUCUGAAGACGUGAUGUGGACUGAAAAUAAGUAGGGAAGCACGUGAGCUGACUGUCAAGAAAAGCCGCUAUUGUUUGCAGGAUACCCGUACCGUAAACCGACACAGGUGGAUGAGGAGAGAAUCCUAAGGCCGACGGGAGAAGCAUUGUUAAGGAACUCGGCAAAAUGACUCCGUAACUUCGGGAGAAGGAGUGCCAGUAAGAUGGCCGCAGAGAAUUGGCCCAAGCAACUGUUUAGCAAAAACACAGGUCUAUGCAAAACCGAAAGGUGAGGUAUAUGGGCUGACGCCUGCCCGGUGCUGGAAGGUUAAGGGGAGAGGUUAGCGCAAGCGAAGCUUUGAACUUAAGCCCCAGUAAACGGCGGCCGUAACUAUAACGGUCCUAAGGUAGCGAAAUUCCUUGUCGGGUAAGUUCCGACCCGCACGAAAGGCGUAAUGAUUUGGGCACUGUCUCAACAAUGCACCCGGUGAAAUUGAAAUACCAGUGAAGAUGCUGGUUACCUGCGCCAGGACGGAAAGACCCCAUGGAGCUUUACUCCAGCUUGAUACUGGGAUUCGGUAUUGCAUGUACAG
rnacentral:rRNA from 1 species